UAACAAGGAUUCCCCUAGUAACUGCGAGUGAAGCGGGAAGAGCUCAAAUUUAAAAUCUGGCAGCCUCCGGUUGUCCGAGUUGUAAUUUAGAGAAGUAUUACCCGCGCUGGACCGUGUACAAGUCUCCUGGAAAGGAGCAUCAUAGAGGGUGAUAAUCCCGUCUUUGACACGGACUCCCAGGGCUUUGUGGUAUGCUCUCGAAGAGUCGAGUUGUUUGGGAAUGCAGCUCAAAAUGGGUGGUAAAUUCCAUCUAAAGCUAAAUAUAGGCGAGAGACCGAUAGCGAACAAGUACCGUGAGGGAAAGAUGAAAAGAACUUUGGAAAGAGAGUUAAACAGUACGUGAAAUUGCUGAAAGGGAAACGCUUGAAGUCAGUCGCGUCGGCUGGGAAUCAACCUUGCUCUUGCUUGGUGUACUUCCCAGCAGACGGGCCAACAUCAGUUUUGACCGCUGGAGAAAGGUUGAGGGAAUGUGGCAUCUUCGGAUGUGUUAUAGCCCUUAGUCAUAUACAGCGGUUGGGACUGAGGAACUCAGCACGCCGCAAGGCAGGGCUUCGGCCACUUACGUGCUUAGGAUGUUGGCAUAAUGGCUUUAAUCGAC
rnacentral:rRNA from 1 species